UAUCAACUUGUUCUGAGUAUUCCUCAGGUUUGUGACAUGCAAAGGGUAAGCUACAGGUGUCUGCAACUUCUAGGGCAUCAUCUUUUCCUUGGUGUGGCAGAGUGAGCGGUGCUGCUGGAUGGUUGUUCACAGUGAAGCACUGCCCUUGCAUUUCUCGGAGCUCUUCAGUGCCCUACUUGACAACAAAAUGACAGAAGUACCCAUCAGAGAGAUCAACAAAUGAAGUGAAUCUUCCUGGAAAUAAGGAGGCCAAGGAAAACAUGUAGUUAUUCCUGAACAAUUAUGUCAAGAAGCUGAGUCAGCAGCUCAGGAUUUGCUCCAGUGGGUAGAAGUCAAGGAAAGAGAAGCAAUUCUUGGGCUUGAUGAGUGUUAUACUCUACCUUAAUGCAUCUUUUAACUGAUCUGUCAGAAACAUUUCAGACCUAUUAAUCCUGAAAAUCUUCUUUCAGUUUGUCUGUGAUUCAUGCUGAUAGCUCUCGUCUCUUGGAGCAAUGAUAACAAUGUUUUAUAGAAUUUCUACACAGUAAAAAGCAGAUGCUACCCUUAUGAGGGUGAUGAAUUCCACAUGUUGAAUGGGCCAAAGCAAGGACAAAAGGCCCAGAGCCUUGAGCCUGGAGGCUGCUGAUGGGCAAUAGAAGACGUGAAAAACAGCAACAGAGGUUGUCUAAUGACAGUACUGGUAGUACUUCCUUUCUACAGAUUUCUAUUCUCGUUAUCUAUUGAAGAUGCCUCUUUUUUCGGAAGUGGAUGGGGGUGGAGAAGUGUAAUUGCUACAUACAGUCUCCAGGCAUUUUUAUGACAGCUAGGAUGAUGAGCACAGGGCUUAGCAAGAGCUGGGUAGGUGCUACUGUAAAGCAAACACUGGUUACUGAAUGCAACCUCGAACAAUUCCAGAUGGGAAUCCAUGCCCCAGCUCCAGAAGGUGGGCAUCGCGAACAGCGUAGCCCACUGGAUCAGUGUCGUGUUUUCAAUCUGCUGAGCAGGUGAGAGAAAUGAAGAGGGCAGGAAGGCAGGGGGAGACAAAGUACACACUAGAAGGCUGAUCCUUGUUAAGCUGUUCAGUAUUGUCCGCCUUGUUGAACUCUCAUUCCUGUGAUCUGAUCUGACCUUUGUUUGAUUUUUUUGUUUGUUCUUUUCUCCCCUGUAUCAGUUCCACUUCUAAUUUCUACUGUUUGACCAUCUGUGGACACUCUGAACCUGUAGCACCAGUGGGGUGGAUGGCUCUGUGUUAGACAGCAGGAUGGGAGGGCACUGGGUGUUCCGAAGGUAUUUGACUCCUGCGCCAUUGAUGAGAGGAUGAUUUUUCUGAUGUUUGACAAAGCCAGUUUGUUCUUAGGCUGGAACUCAUAAGAGAAGACAUGUUUUGAAAGCAUUACUCAGAUACUAACUGUACUGCCUAGGAACAAAGGCCACAGAGCAUUAGAAGCAACAGAAUAAGAAAAUCUAUAUUGAAAGUGCAGCUGGCUUUUAGUAGCUGAGGUUGUGUGGGAACGUGUUCUGGUGCAGUGGUAUAAGAGGAGAUGGAAAUUCAAAUAUCAAACUGUUCAUCUUUAGGCUGUCAGUUCAGACUGGGUCAAGGUUUAUUUGCUAAUGUCAAUACCAAAUAAAAUUCUAGA